rnacentral:rRNA from 1 species
UACGUAGGCAGCAAGCGUUGUUCGGAGUUACUGGGCGUAAAGGGUGUGUAGGCGGUUCUUUAAGUUUGGUGUGAAAUCUCCCGGCUCAACUGGGAGGGUGCGCCGAAUACUGAGGGACUAGAGUACGGGAGAGGAAAGUGGAAUUCCUGGUGUAGCGGUGAAAUGCGUAGAUAUCAGGAGGAACACCGGUGUGUAGACGGCUUCUGGACCGUAACUGACGCUGAAACACGAAAGCGUGGGGAGCAAACAGG